AUUGAACGCUGGCGGCAGGCCUAACACAUGCAAGUCGAGCGAGAGGCGGACGGGUGAGUAAUGUCUGGGAAACUGCCUGAUGGAGGGGGAUAACUACUGGAAACGGUAGCUAAUACCGCAUACCAUCAGAUGUGCCCAGAUGGGAUUAGCUAGUCGGUGGGGUAAUGGCUCACCUAGGCGACGAUCCCUAGCUGGUCUGAGAGGAUGACCAGCCAGACUGGAACUGAGACACGGUCCAGACUCCUACGGGAGGCAGCAGGGGUGAAUAUUGCGCAAUGGGCGCAAGCCUGAUGCAGCCAUGCCGCGGGGGUGAAGAAGGCCUUCGGGUUGUAAAGCACUUUCAGCGGGGAGGCGUUACGCGCAGAAGAAGCACCGGCUAACUCCGUGCCAGCCGCCGCGGUAAUAC
rnacentral:rRNA from 1 species